rnacentral:rRNA from 1 species
GCCACUGCUAUUGGGGUUCGGCUAAGCCAUGCGAGUGGAGGGCGUCCCGCAAGGGAUGGCCCCGCAGACGGCUCAGUAACACGUCGUCAACCCACCUUAGGGUGGGGGACAACCUCGGGAAACUGAGGAUAAUCCCCCAUAGGCGGGGGAGGCUAGAAUGCGCCCCCGCUGAAAGCUCAGGCGCCCUAGGACGGGACGGCGGCCUAUCAGGUAGUUGGUAGUGUGACG